GAUGAACGCUGGCGGCGUGCCUAAUACAUGCAAGUAGAACGCUGAAGGAGGAGCUUGCUCUUCUGGAUGAGUUGCGAACGGGUGAGUAACGCGUAGGUAACCUGCCUGGUAGCGGGGGAUAACUAUUGGAAACGAUAGCUAAUACCGCAUGACAACAGUUAUUGCAUGAUAACUGUUUAAAAGGGGCAACUGCUCCACUACCAGAUGGACCUGCGUUGUAUUAGCUAGUUGGUGAGGUUACGGCUCACCAAGGCGACGAUACAUAGCCGACCUGAGAGGGUGAUCGGCCACACUGGGACUGAGACACGGCCCAGACUCCUACGGGAGGCAGCAGUAGGGAAUCUUCGGCAAUGGACGGAAGUCUGACCGAGCAACGCCGCGUGAGUGAAGAAGGUUUUCGGAUCGUAAAGCUCUGUUGUAAGAGAAGAACGAGUGUGAGAGUGGAAAGUUCACACUGUGACGGUAUCUUACCAGAAAGGGACGGCUAACUACGUG
rnacentral:rRNA from 1 species